GAACGCACAUUGCGCCCUUUGGCAUUCCGAAGGGCAUGCCUGUUCGAGCGUCAUUACACCAAUCAAGCCUGGCUUGGUAUUGGGCGACGGGGCCGUCACACGCCCCGCGCCCCAAUGACCCCCCGGCGGGACGGACUGUAUCUCAGCGUUGUGCAAAUGUCGCUGGCGAUUUACGGGACGGCCGUGCCGUUAAACCUCUUAUCACAAGGUUGACCUCGGAUCAGGUAGGGAUACCCGCUGAACUUAAG
rnacentral:misc_RNA from 1 species